rnacentral:misc_RNA from 1 species
CUAAGGAGUUUUGUUUUUUAAAAUUCUGGGUGGAUGCGCAUCGUUGGUGGUGUUGUGGUGCAUUGUCAUGCUGUUGGGUGUCUGGCACACUGGUGCCUGUGGUGUGUGUUAACUGUAUAGUGGACGCGAAGCAUAUUUUUCUGGUUUAUGCGUAUGGUUUUUAUUGUGUUCCUUGAUUGUGUGGUUUACUGAUUGCUUAUGU